ensembl:lncRNA novel transcript
AACGAAAUAACUAGCAAAGAGACCUUGUUUCAACAUCAAAUAUGUUUCCGUAAGGCCAGAUUCUUGGGCAAAGUUGUUUUAGCGAUCUGGUUGCAACUAAGUAUUGGAGUUGUUGUGCCUUGAAGCUAGAAACUGCCUUGAAUUUCUACAUAGGGAAAUGUAAUCUAUUGCUUUCUUACAGAUUGCCAUUUGCCAGCUGACCUGUGACACAGCAGCAGUGUAUUACAUUUUCAAUGAGCAGUCUGUCUGGAGCUGCUAGUGGGAGAAACUGCUUCCUGGUUUCUAGGGGAGGCAGAUGAUGAAUAAAUGAACAAAAAAUAUAAUAAUGGAUAUGUAUUUAUAAGUGCUAUGAAGAGAAGAAAUCCAAGCAAGAAGAGAGUGAAAUGAGGUAUCCUGUAAGAACAAAUUGCUGCCUCCUCCAGGUGGAAAGGGAUCAAAUAUAAUUAAUCUGUGUGUGCCACACAGUAGCUUGAUAGUUUAAUUGAGGAAUGUUGACAUAUUGAGAGCUCAGCAUUACUUUCUGCUAUCAGCAGUGACGCAUUUACUGAUCACCUACUCUGAGAAAUCACUCUCUAAACUCUGGGGAUGCAGUUCUGAGGAGGAUACAGUUCUGUCUUCAGAAAAUGCUGAUGGAAAUAAUUUUAAUGAACAGUAAUGGUAAAAGGAGAUAAACGAAAACAGAAUCAAUGUGUGCAAAGUGACAGAAGUUUUAUAAUUGCUAAUGAAAAAGAAGAUUUUUCCAAAAGCCACGACUUAGAAAUGGACUUCAAGUUGUUUUCCCUGGUCACAUGCCAUAGUUUCCACAAACGCCACAUGAUUAAAUCCUUUAAAUAAUGCAGCACUUUUGGGUAUCUAAAAUAGAUGCAUGAAAGUGGUAACUUUGUCCAAACACCUUAAAUAUGUCUUCUUUUAUUCUUGCUUUCUUUUCUGACCUGGAUCUGGCUGCCAAUGCACAUGAAAGAAAUUACAAAAGCUUCUCAGUCACUGCGACUCAGGUUCCUUUUGCACUACAGCAUUUGUCAUUGCCAAAACAGCAGAGUUUAAUUAAGUGUUGUGAGCAGCCUAGUGAGAAACACACUUUAAAUUAAACCUCUGUACAUGCAGCUAUUGGUUCUUUACCUCCUGAACAAUCAGCGGGGUGUUAGGCAUAAAUUCCGUCUCUCAAGGGAAAUGUAGCUCCACGCACCUCUAGCGAUUCAUAAAUGAUCCUGCUUUCUCAGAACCAUAUCUUAUUAAAGCACAUUUAAUUAUUUCUAAGUUUUAAACACCGAUAGAUGAAGGCCAUAAUUAAUGUGCCUACCACUAAACAUUUUAUUUACUCUUGAUAUAUUAAUGGUAUUAUCAAGAAAAUAUGCUACAGUUUCAAGUUUAACAAAAUUACAUGGCAAAUUAUCUUUUGAUGCAUCAAGCAAUUGUUAAUAUAAUGGAAUAAAUUAUUUUAACACCUCAGUAGUAAUGGAUGGGUAAAAGAAAGUAAGCAUUUUAAUUUUCAGAAUGUUUUUGCAAUUACACAUUUCAGAAGACAGUUAAAUCAAUGAUCCAAGUGUUUGGAAUUUUAGAAACAGAAACAAAAACAAUUUAGAAAGGUGACUUGUAGGCUUUGGGUUUCUUACAUGCAAGAGAUGUAUCAAUGUAACUGAUCUCAUAACAGCAAAGUUCUGGUAAAAGGUUUGGAUGAAAAAAAUGCUGUUUCUGAAAAUUAUAUUUUGAUGUGCUCAGUCACACAAACUUUCAAAUUUAUAUUUUUUCUUAAAAUAAAAAGAUUAGCAUGUACAUUUUAUAUACAUUUGAUUAAAUACAGUCUCAUAAAAUAAUGGUGAUUUUUUUCUAAACUGGACAGUCUAUCAGUGCAAGUGAACAGUCAGGAUAAAUGACUACAUUCAUAAAAUAUUCUUGACUUGUUCAACAACACCAUGGGGCAAUUUCACACUCUGAAGGACAUUCUCAGUGCAGGCCUUCUACACAAAUGCAGAAAAGAUGAAAAGAUGAUCUAUUAUUCAUUAGAAUUAGGCACACAUAUUUAUCUCUCCUCCAUUAAUCUCCUCCAGAUUAAUGGAGGAGAGAUAACUUCUAUGUUUGGUAAAUUUCAAUAAAGUUGAUGCUGCUACAUGCUGUCCAUUGAUUUGGAAGUUCUUGCCUAGAACUUUUGAAACAAAGGAAAAAAUGUAAAGAUAAUAGCAAUAUUAAUUUUCAUACACUUAUUUAUCUAUAUUUUUACCUAGAAGACUCAUCUCUAAAAUCGCUGUUAACACUGUGAUUUUAGUCUUUUCAUUCUGUGCAACUUACAAGUAGGUAAAGUAGAUUUCAGUGAUUAUCCUUAAAUAUGCAAGAGAUACACACACACUAGUACUCAUUUGAAACUAGCUUGAAGUCUAAAAUAUUUCUGAAUUAAAGUAACUUGCAGGAUAUUAAUUGACUUAAUUUUAUAUGAUUUAUCUUAGAAACCUGUAGUUGUUAAUUAAAAUUAAAGUUUUGUAUGUGUUAUUUUACCUUUUUGAUAAGGGCUUCAAAGAGAAUAUGUAUGUUUAAUUAUUUUAGGAAUGUAUCCUAGAUACUAAUAAUUUAUGCAGUUCUUAUAAAAUAGUUAAUGAUUACUGACAUCAGUAGAUCUGAAUGAAUUGAUAACUUCACAUUUUUCUAUUUAUGUAUCAUUUCUCCGGAGUCCUCUCAAUGCUGUACAUGCAGUCCCCCCACAUGGCUAUUUAUCUUUUCUUCCACUUUCUUUACAGUCUCCAUUUCCUCCACUUUGUUUAUUCUCCAGUAUUCUCACUCUUAUUGCAAUUGAGACUGGCAGUAAAAAACAAAGCCAUAGGACAAAAAUCUGGUUUGGAACAUACAAAAUUAAAGUUGCUAUAUAAGAACAAGGGGAAUUUAGGGAAGUUGUAGGUCAAUUUGUUUAAUGAAUGGCAACCUCUGCUCGAAAAAUUUUCCUUUCAUAUUCCUAAAAUAACUUCACUUGCUGGUUUUACACAAGUGAACAUUUCACCAAUGAGAGAUUAAUUUGUUUUAAUAAGCACUCUCUUUAAAAAUGAAAAUACCUUUGGGAGUGUUUAGUGACUAAUACUUCUUACCUUAAUAUGAAUAGGUUCAAUUAGGCUGUGUCCCUCUAACCUUCUAGCUGGUAUCUACUGCCCUGAGGGAAUGGGGGUUUGGGUGGUAAAAAAAUACAUAGUCAUUAAUCCUAAAGCUUAUCAUGGUUUGAAGAAUAAGUUAUGGAGGAGGGGAGAGAAGGUGUUUCCUGUCAUUGUGCCCAAGAGCUAAGAUUCCCAGCUAGAUUUUCUUGGUUCAAAUUCCAGAUCUACCACGUUAAUUGUGUAGGAGUGGUCAAUUUAAUUAGCUGAAGGCGUCUUAGGUAAAAUAGGGAUGAUAAUAAUAUUGCCCAUUUCAUAGGGUUGUUUUGAACAUUAAAUCAGUAUAAAAUGGGUAUACAAUUUUCAGCACACAGAAAAUUUUUUAAAACGGUAGCUAAUUCUAUUUUACCUUUUUGGUGAGAAAAUUAUCAGGCAAUCAAACAUUAACAUUCUUAAGUCAGAUGAAAUAAAGAUUUUUUAAAAUGCUUAUCAUUUGGGUCCUUCUCCGGCCUAGCUUUUAACGCAAAAUUGUAAACAUUCCAUGGCAAAGCCUUGGCCUAGUCUCAUUCUGCGAUUGCUUCUGCAUUCAGUAUCAAGUAAUUUGUUGUUUAUCCCUUCCUAUUACUGCAUUAGCUCCAUAUCUUGCCUCAAGCCUGGUUUUGCCUUUUUAUAUUAUGUACCUUAAGGAAUCUCUCAGUUCCAAUGUUAGACACUGACAGUAGAGUUGGCAAAAGCUGCAGCAGGGGCAUAGAGAUCAGAUGAGUUUCGAAUUGAAAGGGGCUAGAAGGUUAGAGAAAUUCAGGGCUCAAAAUAGAAAAUUUCAAGAACCAGGACUUGAAAUCAGUAAUCUGCGGUAUUUCUGUCUCAAAGAUAGUACUAAAGUAUUUAGGGUACCUGGACUACAUGGAUAAACAUGAGCCAAGCUUAAGCCCUAAUCCAAACUUUGAAAAAUACACAAUUGUUCAAAACAAAUAAUGUGCUAAUAAAAUUUUAGUAUACAAUUUACUUCUGAGAAGUGCUAUAAUUUAAAGGACAAAGUCCCAAAUACUGAUGUUGGAAAUAAUGGUUUAAUGUUAUAACAUAGAACAGAAAGGACAAUAAAGUAAAGCAAUGGGGAGAUGAGGAAAUACAUGAGUAAGCUCCUGUAAAUUGUCAUUUUCAACCAAGAGUCAGUCUAACAAAUCAGAAACUAUUGUUUAAUAUUCUGCAUUGGCCAGGCGCGGUGGCUCAUGCCUGUAAUCUUAACACUUGGGAGGCCAAGGCAGGUGGAUCAUCUGAGGUCAGGAGUUCAUGACCAGCCUGGCCAAUAUGAUGAAACCCUGUCUCUACUAAAAACACAAAAGUUAGCCGGGCAUGGUGGCAGGCACCUGUAAUUCCAGCUAGUCGGGAGGCUGAGGUAGGAGAAUCACUUGAACCCAGGAGCAGAGGUUGUAGUGAGCUGAGAUCGCACCAUUGCAUUCCAGCCUGGGUGACAGAGCGAG